rnacentral:rRNA from 1 species
AGGUAAGCUACUAAGAGCGAAUGGUGGAUGCCUUGACUGGUAAAGGCGAUGAAGGACGUACUAGACUGCGAUAAGCUACGGGGAGCUGUCAAGAAGCUUUGAUCCGUAGAUUUCCGAAUGGGGCAACCCAAUGUAUAGAGAUAUACAUUACCUAUAUAGGAGCGAACGAGGGGAAUUGAAACAUCUUAGUACCCUCAGGAAAAGAAAUCAAUAGAGAUUGCGUCAGUAGCGGCGAGCGAAAGCGCAAGAGGGCAAACCCAGUGCUUGCACUGGGGGUUGUAGGACUGCAAUAUGCAAGAGGUAAGUUUAGCAGAACAUUCUGGAAAGUAUAACCAUAGAGGGUGAUAGUCCCGUAUGCGAAAAACAAACCUUAGCUAGCAGUAUCCUGAGUAGGGCGGGACACGAGGAAUCCUGUCUGAAUCCGGGUCGACCACGAUCCAACCCUAAAUACUAAUACCAGAUCGAUAGUGCACAAGUACCGUGAGGGAAAGGUGAAAAGAACUGAGGUGAUCAGAGUGAAAUAGAACCUGAAACCAUUUGCUUACAAUCAUUCAGAGCCCUAUGUAGCAAUACAGGGUGAUGGACUGCCUUUUGCAUAAUGAGCCUGCGAGUUGUGGUGUCUGGCAAGGUUAAGCAAACGCGAAGCCGUAGCGAAAGCGAGUCUGAAUAGGGCGCUUAGUCAGAUGCUGCAGACCCGAAACGAAGUGAUCUAUCCAUGAGCAAGUUGAAGCUAGUGUAAGAACUAGUGGAGGACUGAACCCAUAGGCGUUGAAAAGCCCCGGGAUGACUUGUGGAUAGGGGUGAAAGGCCAAUCAAACUUCGUGAUAGCUGGUUCUCUCCGAAAUAUAUUUAGGUAUAGCGUUGUGUCGUAAUAUAAGGGGGUAGAGCACUGAAUGGGCUAGGGCAUACACCAAUGUACCAAACCCUAUCAAACUCCGAAUACCUUAUAUGUAAUCACAGCAGUCAGGCGGCGAGUGAUAAAAUCCGUCGUCAAGAGGGAAACAACCCAGACUACCAGCUAAGGUCCCUAAGUCUUACUUAAGUGGAAAACGAUGUGAAGUUACUUAAACAACCAGGAGGUUGGCUUAGAAGCAGCCAUCCUUUAAAGAAAGCGUAAUAGCUCACUGGUCUAGUGAUUUUGCGCGGAAAAUAUAACGGGGCUAAAGUAAGUACCGAAGCUGUAGACUUAGUUUACUAAGUGGUAGGAGAGCGUUCUAUUUGCGUCGAAGGUAUACCGGUAAGGAGUGCUGGAGCGAAUAGAAGUGAGCAUGCAGGCAUGAGUAGCGAUAAUUAAUGUGAGAAUCAUUAACGCCGUAAACCCAAGGUUUCCUACGCGAUGCUCGUCAUCGUAGGGUUAGUCGGGUCCUAAGUCGAGUCCGAAAGGGGUAGACGAUGGCAAAUUGGUUAAUAUUCCAAUACCAACAUUAGUGUGCGAUGGAAGGACGCUUAGGGCUAAGGGGCUAGCGGAUGGAAGUGCUAGUCUAAGGUCGUAGGAGGUUAUACAGGCAAAUCCGUAUAACAAUACUCCGAGAACUGAAAGGCUUUUUGAAGUCUUCGGAUGGAUAGAAGAACCCCUGAUGCCGUCGAGCCAAGAAAAGUUUCUAAGUUUAGCUAAUGUUGCCCGUACCGUAAACCGACACAGGUGGGUGGGAUGAGUAUUCUAAGGCGCGUGGAAGAACUCUCUUUAAGGAACUCUGCAAAAUAGCACCGUAUCUUCGGUAUAAGGUGUGGUUAGCUUUGUAUUAGGAUUUACUCCGAAAGCAAGGAAACUUACAACAAAGAGUCCCUCCCGACUGUUUACCAAAAACACAGCACUCUGCUAACUCGUAAGAGGAUGUAUAGGGUGUGACGCCUGCCCGGUGCUCGAAGGUUAAUUGAUGGGGUUAGCAUUAGCGAAGCUCUUGAUCGAAGCCCGAGUAAACGGCGGCCGUAACUAUAACGGUCCUAAGGUAGCGAAAUUCCUUGUCGGUUAAAUACCGACCUGCAUGAAUGGCGUAACGAGAUGGGAGCUGUCUCAAAGAGGGAUCCAGUGAAAUUGUAGUGGAGGUGAAAAUUCCUCCUACCCGCGGCAAGACGGAAAGACCCCGUGGACCUUUACUACAGCUUGACACUGCUACUUGGAUAAGAAUGUGCAGGAUAGGUGGGAGGCUUUGAGUAUAUGACGCCAGUUGUAUAUGAGCCAUUGUUGAGAUACCACUCUUUCUUAUUUGGGUAGCUAACCAGCUUGAGUUAUCCUCAAGUGGGACAAUGUCUGGUGGGUAGUUUGACUGGGGCGGUCGCCUCCCAAAUAAUAACGGAGGCUUACAAAGGUUGGCUCAGAACGGUUGGAAAUCGUUCGUAGAGUAUAAAGGUAUAAGCCAGCUUAACUGCAAGACAUACAAGUCAAGCAGAGACGAAAGUCGGUCUUAGUGAUCCGGUGGUUCUGUGUGGAAGGGCCAUCGCUCAAAGGAUAAAAGGUACCCCGGGGAUAACAGGCUGAUCUCCCCAAGAGCUCACAUCGACGGGGAGGUUUGGCACCUCGAUGUCGGCUCAUCGCAUCCUGGGGCUGGAGCAGGUCCCAAGGGUAUGGCUGUUCGCCAUUUAAAGCGGUACGCGAGCUGGGUUCAGAACGUCGUGAGACAGUUCGGUCCCUAUCUGCCGUGGGCGUAAGAAGAUUGAAGAGAUUUGACCCUAGUACGAGAGGACCGGGUUGAACAAACCACUGGUGUAGCUGUUGUUCUGCCAAGAGCAUCGCAGCGUAGCUAAGUUUGGAAAGGAUAAACGCUGAAAGCAUCUAAGCGUGAAGCCAACUCUAAGAUGAAUCUUCUCUAAGCUCUCUAGAAGACUACUAGUUUGAUAGGCUGGGUGUGUAAUGGAUGAAAGUCCUUUAGCUGACCAGUACUAAUAGAGCGUUUGGCUUAUCUUU